rnacentral:rRNA from 1 species
ACAACUCUAGAGAUAGAGCUUUCCCCUUCGGGGGACAAAGUGACAGGUGGUGCAUGGUUGUCGUCAGCUCGUGUCGUGAGAUGUUGGGUUAAGUCCCGCAACGAGCGCAACCCUUAAGCUUAGUUGCCAUCAUUAAGUUGGGCACUCUAAGUUGACUGCCGGUGACAAACCGGAGGAAGGUGGGGAUGACGUCAAAUCAUCAUGCCCCUUAUGAUUUGGGCUACACACGUGCUACAAUGGACAAUACAAAGGGCAGCGAAACCGCGAGGUCAAGCAAAUCCCAUAAAGUUGUUCUCAGUUCGGAUUGUAGUCUGCAACUCGACUACAUGAAGCUGGAAUCGCUAGUAAUCGUAGAUCAGCAUGCUACGGUGAAUACGUUCCCGGGUCUUGUACACACCGCCCGUCACACCACGAGAGUUUGUAACACCCGAAGCCGGUGGAGUAACCUUUUAGGAGCUAGCCGUCGAAGGUGGGACAAAUGAUUGGGGUGAAGUCGUAACAAGGUAGCCGUAUCGGAAGGUGCGGCUGGAUCACCUCCUUU